rnacentral:rRNA from 1 species
AUUGAACGCUGGCGGCAGGCCUAACACAUGCACGUCGAACGAGAGGCGUGAGGGAUAGUAAUGACUGGGACACUGCCCGAUGGAUGGGGAUAAGUAAUGGAAACGGGUGCCAAUUACGCCUUCCAUCGCAUGUGCCCAGAUGGGAUUAGCUAGUAGGUGGGGUAACGGCUCACCCAGGCGACGAACCCUAGCUGGUCUGAGAGGAUGACCAGCCACACUGGAACUGAGACACGGUCCAGACUCCUACGGGAGGCAGCAGUGGGGAAUAUUGCACAAUGGGCGCAAGCCUGAUGCAGCCAUGCCGCGUGUAUGAAGAAGGCCUUCGGGUUGUAAAGUACUUUCAGCGAGGAGGCGUUACUCGCAGAAGAAGCACCGGCUAACUCCGUGCCAGCAGCCGCGGUAAUAC